CGUGAGCAACCUGCCCCAGGCUUUGGGAUAACCCCGGGAAACCGGGGCUAAUACCGAAUAUGACCUCUGACCGCAUGGUUGGUGGUGGAAAGUUUUUCGGCUUGGGAUGGGCUCGCGGCCUAUCAGCUUGUUGGUGGGGUGAUGGCCUACCAAGGCGACGACGGGUAGCCGGCCUGAGAGGGCGACCGGCCACACUGGGACUGAGACACGGCCCAGACUCCUACGGGAGGCAGCAGUGGGGAAUAUUGCACAAUGGGCGGAAGCCUGAUGCAGCGACGCCGCGUGAGGGAUGACGGCCUUCGGGUUGUAAACCUCUUUCAGCAGGGACGAAGCGUAAGUGACGGUACCUGCAGAAGAAGCGCCGGCCAACUACGUGCCAGCAGCCGCGGUAAGACGUAGGGCGCGAGCGUUGUCCGGAUUUAUUGGGCGUAAAGAGCUCGUAGGCGGCUUGUCGCGUCGACCGUGAAAACUUGGGGCUCAACCCCAAGCCUGCGGUCGAUACGGGCA
rnacentral:rRNA from 2 species